rnacentral:misc_RNA from 2 species
AUUGUUUCGAACGCACGCUUUUUUAAGUAAAGGCUGGCGGAUCGGUAGUGAGGGUUUUUGCCAUUUACCGUGGCUCCCUCGAAAUGCAUUAGUGCAUCCAUUUAAUAGGCAAAGACGGACGAAAGCUCGACUUUUCUCUCUCUCUUCCCUGCCGGGUUUUGAUAAUAUCAGGACUUCGGAGGCGGAGAAAGAGCAAGAGCUGGACGCGACGACUUUUGCUGGUUGGAGUGCUUCUGAACACCGCCCUUUUUUCUUUCUUGAAAAAAGGAAUUAAUUCA